rnacentral:rRNA from 16 species
AUUCCGGUUGAUCCUGCCGGAGGCCAUUGCUAUCGGAGUCCGAUUUAGCCAUGCUAGUCGCGCGGGUUUAGACCCGCGGCAGAUAGCUCAGUAACACGUGGCCAAACUACCCUAUGGACGGAGAUAACCUCGGGAAACUGAGGCUAAUAUCCGAUACAGCUCGCACGCUGGAGUGCAGCGAGCUGGAAACGUUCCGGCGCCAUAGGAUGUGGCUGCGGCCGAUUAGGUAGACGGUGGGGUAAUGGCCCACCGUGCCGAUAAUCGGUACAGGUUGUGAGAGCAAGAGCCUGGAGACGGAAUCUGAGACAAGAUUCCGGGCCCUACGGGGCGCAGCAGGCGCGAAACCUUUACACUGCACGACAGUGCGAUAGGGGGACUCCGAGUGCGAGGGCAUACAGUCCUCGCUUUUCUGCACCGUAAGGUGGUACAGGAACAAGUGCUGGGCAAGACCGGUGCCAGCCGCCGCGGUAAUACCGGCAGCACGAGUGAUGGCCGAUUUUAUUGGGCCUAAAGCGUCCGUAGCCGGCCGAGCAAGUCUGUUGGGAAAUCCACGCGCUCAACGCGUGGGCGUCCAGCGGAAACUGUUCGGCUUGGGGCCAGAGGACUCGAGGGGUACGUCCGGGGUAGGAGUGAAAUCCCGUAAUCCUGGACGGACCACCGGUGGCGAAAGCGCCUCGAGAAGAUGGACCCGACGGUGAGGGACGAAAGCUUGGGUCUCGAACCGGAUUAGAUACCCGGGUAGUCCAAGCUGUAAACGAUGCUCGCUAGGUGUGCCGCAGGCUACGAGCCUGCGCUGUGCCGUAGGGAAGCCGAGAAGCGAGCCGCCUGGGAAGUACGUCUGCAAGGAUGAAACUUAAAGGAAUUGGCGGGGGAGCACUACAACCGGAGGAGCCUGCGGUUUAAUUGGACUCAACGCCGGACAUCUCACCAGCACCGACAACGGUAAUGAUGGCCAGGUUGAUGACCUUACCCGACGCCGUUGAGAGGAGGUGCAUGGCCGCCGUCAGCUCGUACCGUGAGGCAUCCUGUUAAGUCAGGCAACGAGCGAGACCCGCAUCCUUAAUUGCCAGCAGCAUCCUUGUGAUGGCUGGGUACAUUAGGGAGACCGCCACGGCUAACGUGGAGGAAGGAACGGGCAACGGUAGGUCAGCAUGCCCCGAAUGUGCUGGGCAACACGCGGGCUACAAUGGCCGGGACAGUGGGAAGCUAAUCCGAGAGGAUACGCUAAUCCCCUAAACCCGGUCGUAGUUCGGAUUGAGGGCUGAAACUCGCCCUCAUGAAGCUGGAUUCGGUAGUAAUCGCGUGUCAGAAGCGCGCGGUGAAUACGUCCCUGCUCCUUGCACACACCGCCCGUCAAAUCACCCGAGUGGGGUCCGGAUGAGGCCAUCAUGCGAUGGUCGAAUCUGGGCUCCGCAAGGGGGAUUAAGUCGUAACAAGGUAGCCGUAGGGGAAUCUGCGGCUGGAUCACCUCCU